rnacentral:rRNA from 1 species
CGGCGUGGAUAAGACAUGCAAGUCGAACGCUGAUUUCAGGGUAGCAAUAUUCUGGAGUCGGAGUGGCGCAAGGGUGCGUAACACGUGGGUAAUUUGCCGUGAAGUUGGGGAUAACUCGCUGAAAGGCGAGCUAAUACCGGAUGUGAAAAUCGGGAGGCAUCUUCUGAUUUUUAAAGUUGGGGACCGCAAGGCCUGACGCUUCACGAUAAGCCCGCGGCCUAUCAGCUAGUUGGUGAGGUAACGGCUCACCAAGGCUAAGACGGGUAGCUGGUCUGAGAGGACGACCAGUCACACUGGAACUGAGACACGGUCCAGACACCUACGGGUGGCAGCAGUCGAGAAUUUUUCUCAAUGGGCGAAAGCCUGAAGGAGCGACGCCGCGUGGGGGAUGAAGGGCUUCGGCUCGUAAACCCCUGUCAUUGCGAACAAACCUUACGAUUAAUAG